rnacentral:lncRNA from 1 species
UAAUUUUUAAUGGUUGAUAUCUGCCGUUUUCAAGUUUAGCGGUGUAGAAGUAUUCAAAUCAGAUAAAAUUUUGAUACAAAAUUCUUUAUACUAUCUAUAACAAGAUAAAUAUUUCUGAUCGAAAAUUUUAGUGCUAUAUCAUCACUUUUUAUAGGAUUUUUAUUUUCAGCCGUUAAAAAUUAUUGAUUUUGAAUCCUUUCGAUUGCUAGGUAAAUGAUAUCGAAAAAUUGCAAAAAUUAUUUUCUAGAAACUUCAAAUUCGCUAGAUCAAGUUUAACGGAGCCGAUCGUCGAUUCGGAAACUCCAUCAUAGUAAACUGCUCAAGAGCACGGAGGCCUCCGUGCUCC